rnacentral:misc_RNA from 1 species
GAAACCCAUGACCUGUGGAUUGGUGGAGUGGUUCCAGAGACCAGGGGAAAAGGAGUCAACGGUGCCGAUCGAUUGGUUGCGGAAUUGCCAUUCAUCUGAAGCUUCAUAGCUCUGAUGAUCCUCACUUCUCUUCUCCAUCACAAACUUAUCCUUCUCCCUCAAACUCAUUAUGAUGUCAGCAGUUUUGAGCACACCUCGGCGCGAAACUACUCGGAAAUUU